GUGCCAGCCGCCGCGGUAAUACGAAGGUCCCAAGCGUUGUUCGGAAUCACUGGGCGUAAAGGGAGCGUAGGCGGCGUGGUAAGUCAGAUGUGAAAUCCCGGGGCUCAACCCCGGAACUGCAUCCGAUACUGCCGUGCUUGAGGGUUGAAGAGGUAGCUGGAAUUAUCGGUGUAGCAGUGAAAUGCGUGGAUAUCGAUAGGAACACUCGUGGCGAAGGCGAGCUACUGGACAACAUCUGACGCUGAGGCUCGAAGGCUAGGGGAGCAAAAGGGAUUAGAUACCCCCGUAGUCC
rnacentral:rRNA from 1 species